UACGUAGGGUGCGAGCGUUAAUCGGAAUUACUGGGCGUAAAGCGUGCGCAGGCGGUUUUGUAAGCCAGAUGUGAAAGCCCCGGGCUUAACCUGGGAAUGGCAUUUGGGACUGCAAGGCUUGAGUGCGGCAGAGGAGACUGGAAUUCCUGGUGUAGCAGUGAAAUGCGUAGAUAUCAGGAGGAAUACCGAUGGCGAAGGCAGGUCUCUGGGCUGAUACUGACGCUCAUGCACGAAAGCGUGGGGAGCAAACAGG
rnacentral:rRNA from 1 species